CUGUGAAAGCAUUCAUUUGAGUAACACGGAGGGAAGUGAAACUCUUCUGUCGAUGUGUAAACAGAGUUCUGCUGAAAGACGAAAGCUCCAAGGUCGAUCAGCUUAAGCUAGAAGGAGAAAUCUUCAAUCUACAUCUACCCAAUAAAAUCAUGUCGAGGGAUUUCUGUUUCUCACCAGUCACUUCUACUGUGAUUCGCCAUCGUUAGCACGGAAUGUGAGUAAUGAGGCUCUGAAGAUCGAAGUAUUUGGAGGAGAAGAUCUUCCCUCAAUUGGAAGGUCGGUCAUUCUCGGUGGCCUACGUGCACACAAAUGUGGGGAGAGGAGCGAGAACUUCCCCAGAAUCUGAACCCUAAGUGAUUCUGAUCAACGUCAAGGAGAAUCACGAGGCGGUUGGUUUACUUUUGUUCAUCCAGGUCUUCAGGCGCCAGGCUUUUCCUCACCACGGUUCACCAUCGGCUUCAAAUUUUACUGAUCCGCGUGUCUUGGAGUGGGCGUGGGAGGGAGGAUUUGGCUGAUGUCUUCAAUUUUGGAAGGGAAGUGUAUCUAUCUCAUUGAAGGGAGCUUCAGAGCCGGUUCUCCAUCCUCCCCCGCGAAACUCCACAGGCACAAAUUCAUUUCUUUGACUUCGAUUCCAGCCGAAGUGAUUGAACCUGUCAUAUCUAAGUCUUUCCCACUCAAUCCAUAAGCCAAUAAUCAAUCAAAUUUGUAUAGAAAAUUGAUGAUUACAAGUUCAACGAUGGCAAAAGUGAAUUAGGCUCUCGGGCAUCCUUGCCUACCUAUCCCAAAUGGAAUUAACUGAAAACCCUUGAAAUCAAUAGGGGCAUCAUUCAAGAAGAGACGAUAACAAUAAUUGAAAACAUCCAACCCUUGAAAUCAAUGCGUUAGAUUUUUUCAAUUAUUGUUGUUGUGUCAUCUUGAAUGAUGUCCCUAUUGAUUUCAAGGGCCAUGAUUUUCAGUUAAUUCCGCUUGGGAUAGUUGGGCAAGGAUGUGCGGGAGCCCAAUUCGCUUUUGCCAUUGUUGAACUUGUAAUUGCCGAUUUCUUGCACAAGUUUGAUUGGUCAUUGCCUUAUGGAUUGGGUGGGGAAGACUUGAUAUGACAGAAGCUACUGCUAUUUCAAGCCAUUUGAACUCUAUUCUUAUUGUUGUUGUGACUCCUAUCCAAGUGCCCCACCUAGCACAUCUAGUGCUCCAUAUAAAUAGAUUUUUUUUUAAUGAGAUAUUUUUGACUUCUUAUAUAAAGUCUAUGUGAUAUACUUAGUAGCUCACCUUAAUAUAUAUGUAUAUAUAUAAAUUUUUUUUUU